rnacentral:tRNA from 2 species
GGGGCGUUAGCACAGUUGGUAGCGCGCAACGUUCGCAUCGUUGAGGUCAGGGGUUCGAAUCCCCUACGCUCCACCA